ACACUCCUACGGGAGGCAGCAGUGGGGAAUAUUGGACAAUGGGCGCAAGCCUGAUCCAGCCAUGCCGCGUGAGUGAUGAAGGCCCUAGGGUUGUAAAGCUCUUUCACCGGUGAAGAUAAUGACGGUAACCGGAGAAGAAGCCCCGGCUAACUUCGUGCCAGCAGCCGCGGUAAUACGAAGGGGGCUAGCGUUGUUCGGAUUUACUGGGCGUAAAGCGCACGUAGGCGGACUAUUAAGUCAGGGGUGAAAUCCCGGGGCUCAACCCCGGAACUGCCUUUGAUACUGGUAGUCUUGAGUUCGGGAGAGGUGAGUGGAAUUCCGAGUGUAGAGGUGAAAUUCGUAGAUAUUCGGAGGAACACCAGUGGCGAAGGCGGCUCACUGGCUCGAUACUGACGCUGAGGUGCGAAAGCGUGGGGAGCAAACAGGAUUAGAAACCCCUGUAGUCCCAUGAU
rnacentral:rRNA from 1 species